AUGAUGGCACACUUGCCCCAAAGAGAAGGUAUGUACAGCAUGCCCUCCGGCUGCCAAGAACCGAUGUUUGCUAAAGAUGACAUGACAGUCCACUGGACACAUCUCUCGUUGCUAAACCUCGUGCUGCAUGUUGUUGUCUAUACUGAGAUCUUAACUCACUCCAGAUUCCGGAACUCAUUCAUUGAAACUUCUUCCCCUUCCCCGUCCAAAUGAGUGUUUUGUUAGGAAACCUAAUCCACUCAUACCAAUCUGGAAUUUGGAAUAUGCAGAAACAUUUAGGAUUUUGCAAGGGAGGAGACUGAGUUGCUGAUUCGAAUCCAGUCUCAAGUGAUUCGGUCAACAGAGAUUAGUCUUUUCUCAAGACAGAUUGGGGCGGAUGCUGCUGUGGAUUCCCAGUGGGGACCAAGCCUGAAAUCUUCACACUACGGACCUGGGAAUCUCCUGGAUCUUUUACCUCCUCUCAUCCCAUAUUGCUUCUGGCCAGAAGCAGGUGUGUCCCCCCACACCGAGAUGAAUUUCAAGGGGGAACAAUGGCAUCCUUCUCUCCUGAAAUUUCACCUGCUCUGUCGCUUGAACAGACAUAAGCAAUUGUGAGAUUGCUCAAUGCUGGGGGACAUAGUCUCUGCCUCAUUUUAAGGUGCCCAUGUUUUAGUGGAAGGUGUUUUGGUAUCUGUGACAUUUUUGAACACAGCAAUGGGUUUGAGUGGGCAAAGAUGCUCUGUAAGACAGGGUGGGGUCAUUGAAGCCAUUUUAAAAAGAGGAAACAAAAGAAAACCUCGGGCAUUUUAAUAUGUUAAAUACGUACCCAAUUAUUAAUUCUAAAGACUUCUACAAAUCAACCUAGAUGAAACUUUUUUCACCUUUUUCCUGCCUGUUUUCCCCUUCUCAGAAACAUUUAGACCUACCCUAUGGCAAUAACUAUUGGGAAGUCUCUGCCCUGUAUAUCAGGGUAGCACAAAUAAUUCAGCAUAAAGCAGCCCAGUUGCUGUAGCUUGGCAUUAGGAUAAGUAUAUCUUAAGAAAGUUCUUAUGCAGACUUGGCUUCAGGCAAUAAAACGUCAUAGACGUAUAACUGUAGCAAGCGAAAUUUCUAGGGAGCAAAUUAGGCUGAAAAAAAUCUUCUAGAGACAGCUAGAAAGGAAUUGUACACCACCCCAAAAUAAGGCAAGUUAUGCAGUAAAUGUUUCAUUUAUUGGCCUUCUUCCAUUACUAUUAGGGUUAAAAGACAUCUUGUCAAUAAGAAAAGUAUAUUUAUGGAGGACUGAUGUCUUUCAGAAAGCUGUUCCUGUCACAGAUGCCUAUAGCAGUGGUAAUCGGCUUAUGAAAGCAGGUGAUGAAACCCUGUACAGAUGCAUACAUCUCCCCAUUAACCCUUGGAUCAUGAGGUAUUAUUGUCACUUUAUUACCCAGACCUGUUAUUAGCUGAAGCAAGGUGAUCAAGCGAGGCACUGCAGAAAAAUGUCAGAACAGAAGAGUGUUCCUCAGGGUUUCAAGGGAAGAGUGUGUGUCUUUCCAAGUCCCUUCACGAAGUCACUGGGGGGGAUAGAGGAUGCCUGUGAAGUGGGCACUUUUGCCUAACCCUUCCUCUUGCUAAAUUUGAAAACUCUUGGGUGUCCAAUUUUUAACGUUCCUAUGUUGGCUAAGGGAGUAGCUUUCCUCAAGGUCCAAAUAAGGAACCAUCACCCACGCAGAACAAAAAGCAAACAGAAAAUCUCACAGUGGAAUCAGGACUUUGGCUUCUAAACAUUU
rnacentral:lncRNA from 1 species